rnacentral:rRNA from 1 species
AACGAACGCUGGCGGCGUGCCUAACACAUGCAAGUCGUGCGAGAAAGUUCCUUCGGGAGCGAGUAAAGCGGCGCACGGGUGAGUAACACGUAGGUAACCUGCCCCCCAGUCUGGAACAACUAGAGGAAACUCUAGCUAAUGCCGGAUGAGACCACGAUCCCUUCGGGGGUUGCGGCCAAAGAUGGCCUCUACUUGUAAGCUAUCGCUGAGGGAUGGGCCUGCGGGCCAUUAGCUUGUUGGUGAGGUAACGGCUCACCAAGGCUGUGAUGGCUAGCUGGUCUGAGAGGAUGACCAGCCACACUGGGACUGAGACACGGCCCAGACUCCUACGGGAGGCAGCAGUGGGAAUAUUGCGCAAUGGGCGAAAGCCUGACGCAGCGACGCCGCGUGGGUGAUGAAGGCCU